rnacentral:rRNA from 1 species
UGCUUAAUACAUGCAAGUCGUGCGAGAAAGCAGUCUUCGGAUUGUGAGUAGAGCGGCGAACGGGUGAGUAACACGUAAGUAACCUGCCUCUAAAUUCGGGAUAACCUUGCUAACGCGGGGCUAAUACCGGAUGUGGUCCAUAAACCACAUGGUUAUUGGAUUAAAGGUGACCUCUUCUUGAAAGUUACUGUUUAGAGAUGGACUUGCGGACCAUUAGCUUGUUGGUAGGGUAACGGCCUACCAAGGCUGUGAUGGUUAGCCGACCUGAGAGGGUGAUCGGCCACAUUGGGACUGAGAUACGGCCCAGACUCCUACGGGAGGCAGCAGUAGGGAAUUUUGCGCAAUGGACGAAAGUCUGACGCAGCAACUCCGCGUGAGGGAUGAAGGCCUUCGGGUUGUAAACCUCUGUUGAGUGGGAAGAAAAAGCCUUAUAAUAAUACUAUAAGGCCUUGACGGUACCAUUCGAGGAAGCACCGGCUAACUACGUGCCAGCAGCCGCGGUAAUACGUAGGGUGCUAGCGUUGUUCGGAAUCACUGGGCGUAAAGAGAGCGUAGGCGGGAAGGUAAGUUAGAAGUGAAAUGUAUCGGCUCAACCGGUAAUCUGCUUUUAAUACUGCCUUUCUUGAGUAUUGGAGAGGAUGAUGGAAUUCCAGGUGUAGCGGUGGAAUGCGUAGAUAUCUGGAAGAACACCAGUUGCGAAGGCGGUCAUCUGGCCAAAUACUGACGCUGAGGCUCGAAAGCUAGGGGAGCGAACAGGAUUAGAUACCCUGGUAGUCCUAGCCGUAAACAAUGGACACUAGAUGCCGGAAGUGUUAUGCUUUCGGUGUCGAAGCUAACGCAUUAAGUGUCCCGCCUGGGGAGUACGCUCGCAAGGGUGAAACUCAAAGGAAUUGACGGGGGCCCGCACAAGCGGUGGAGCAUGUGCUUUAAUUCGAUGCAACGCGAAGAACCUUACCUGGUCUUGACAUGGGAGUGAAAUUUUCCAGAGAUGGAAAGCUUUCCUUCGGGAACACUCUACACAGGUGCUGCAUGGUUGUCGUCAGCUCGUGUCGUGAGAUGUUGGGUUAAGUCCCGCAACGAGCGCAACCCCUAUCCUUAGUUGCCAUCAGGUAAUGCUGGGAACUCUAGGGAGACUGCCUGGAUUAACCAGGAGGAAGGUGGGGAUGACGUCAAAUCCUCAUGGCCCUUACGACCAGGGCUA